CAAGGUUUCNGUAGGUGAACCUGCGGAAGGAUCAUUA
rnacentral:rRNA from 1 species